rnacentral:rRNA from 1 species
AUGUCUAAGUACAUGCCGUAUUAAGGCGAAACCGCGAAUGGCUCAUUAAAUCAGUCAUGGUUCCUUGGAUCGUACCUUACUACUUGGAUAACUGUGGCAAUUCUAGAGCUAAUACAUGCAGCAGAGCUCCGACCUUCGGGRACGAGCGCUUUUAUUAGACCAAAACCAAUCGGACCUCGUGUCCGUCUCUUGUGGUGACUCUGUAUAACUUUGGGCUGAUCGCACGGGCCUGUCCCGGCGACGUAUCUUUCAAGUGUCUGCCUUAUCAACUUUCGAUGGUAGGUUACGCGCCUACCAUGGUCGUAACGGGUAACGGGGAAUCAGGGUUCGAUUCCGGAGAGGGAGCCUGAGAAACGGCUACCACAUCCAAGGAAGGCAGCAGGCGCGCAAAUUACCCACUCCCAGAACGGGGAGGUAGUGACGAAAAAUAACAAUACGGGACUCUUUUGAGACCCCGUAAUUGGAAUGAGUACACUCUAAAUCCUUUAACGAGGAUCCAUUGGAGGGUAAGUCUGGUGCCAGCAACCGCGGUAAUUCCAGCUCCAAUAGCGUAUAUUAAAGUUGUUGCGGUUAAAAAGCUCGUAGUUGGAUCUCAGUUCCAGACGGGUGGUCCUCCUACCGGUGGUUACUGCCUGUUCUGAACAGUCAGCCGGUUUCUCUUGAUGAUCUUCACCGGUUGUCUUGGGUGACCGGCAAGUUUACUUUGAAAAAAUUAGAGUGCUCAAAGCAGGCGUGACGCCUGAAUAAUGGUGCAUGGAAUAAUGGAAUAGGACCUCGGUUCUAUUUUGUUGGUUUUCGGAACACGAGGUAAUGAUUAAGAGGGACAGACGGGGGCAUUCGUAUUGCGACGCU